rnacentral:sRNA from 1 species
CCCCAUCCUUACGGGAUGGGGCUGAAAUAUACCGGGCUUUCAGCCCU